GCGUGGGAAUCUGCCCAGUAGUGGGGGACAACAGUCGGAAACGACUGCUAAUACCGCAUACACCCUACGGGGAAAGGGGGCUUCGGCUCUCGCUAUUGGAUGAGCCCGCGUGAGAUUAGUUUGUUGGUGGGGUAAUGGCCUACCAAGACGACGAUCUCUAGCUGGUCUGAGAGGAUGAUCAGCCACACUGGAACUGAGACACGGUCCAGACUCCUACGGGAGGCAGCAGUGGGGAAUAUUGCACAAUGGGGGAAACCCUGAUGCAGCCAUGCCGCGUGUGUGAAGAAGGCCUUCGGUUGU
rnacentral:rRNA from 1 species